UACAGAGGGGGCAAGCGUUGUUCGGAAUUACCGGGCGUAAAGGGCGCGUAGGCGGCCUGUUAAGUCGAACGUGAAAUCCCUCGGCUUAACCGGGGAACUGCGUCCGAUACUGGUUGGCUUGAGUUUGGGAGAGGGAUGCGGAAUUCCAGGUGUAGCGGUGAAAUGCGUAGAUAUCUGGAGGAACACCGGUGGCGAAGGCGGCAUCCUGGACCAAUACUGACGCUGAGGAGCGAAAGCCAGGGGAGCAAACGGG
rnacentral:rRNA from 1 species